CAGCCGCCGCGGGAAUACGUAGGUGGCAAGCGUUGUCCGGAAUUAUUGGGCGUAAAGGGCUCGCAGGCGGUUUCUUAAGUCUGAUGUGAAAGCCCCCGGCUCAACCGGGGAGGGUCAUUGGAAACUGGGAAACUUGAGUGCAGAAGAGGAGAGUGGAAUUCCACGUGUAGCGGUGAAAUGCGUAGAGAUGUGGAGGAACAUCAGUGGCGAAGGCGACUCUCUGGUCUGUAACUGACGCUGAGGAGCGAAAGCGUGGGGAGCGAACAGGAUUAGAUACCCGCGUAGUCCCUGUCUCUUAUAC
rnacentral:rRNA from 1 species